AUCUUCGCUGUUGAGUAAUGUAUCCUUUACCUUCAACUCGACCAGCGUCUCUCUACUGUGGACGGAGGUGAUACUUUCUCUGCAAGUGAUUCUGGUUCUUUAGCAGAUCCUUAUGAUAUCGAACAGGCAGAA
rnacentral:sRNA from 1 species